UUUUUUAUCUCAAAAUUUACUUAAAAAUAGUGUUGAAUUAUUGUAAAUUUGUGUCAGGUAUGGCGAGAAAUGAUUCCUUUUGGCGAAAAAUAAAGAUUCAUGGUGAAAAAUAGAAGGUCGAUAUCUAUAUUUUAGUUUUAAUCAAUCUCGACUAAAUACAAAGGCUCGUUUACUAUCACCACCUAUAGAUGCUAAUUCUUACAAAUGUUUCUUGUUGAGAUACCAAACAAACUCAACACAAAACAACACACUCAGUAUAUAUAUUUUAACAUCCGAUAAUCAACAUCCUAUAUUACCUUCAUGGACGCUUUACGACCACCCAGUCUCAAAAUGGGAUCAACUGGAAAUAAAUAUACCACAAGAACUCCACAGUAAAAAUAUCCAACUGUUGUUAGAAGGAGAAAUAUCAUCAGAUAAUCAGGGCUAUUUAGCUAUAGAUAAUAUGGAUAUCUUGACCGAACCAUGUAAAGAAAAACCAAACUGUUCUUCUAAUCGGUGUUUAAACCAUGGUCAAUGUGUCGAGAGUCUCGCAUCAUUUGUUUGUUUUUGUCCACCAACUUUCACCGGAAGUAUUUGUGAAACCCGAGUCCCGCCAACGUCAGUAAUCCCUCCUACGACUGUCAGUGCUAAUACCAAUGCCGUUCCUCUCACGACCAAAGUUGAUGUAUCACAGCCAAAAAUUUCAGUAUCAACGCCAAGAAUAAAAAAUACGUCAUCGAUUUCUAUGUACACUAUGAUGGUGAAAUCGACAGAAAAGGUUCCCCGAUCCACCAAGUCACCAAUGCCCGUAUCAACAUUAGCAAAUACAAAUACGUCAUCAGUUCCAAUGUACAGUCUUUUCGUGAAAUCCACUGAAUCAGUUCCAAAAUCAACGCCAUCGCCAAUGCCCUCAUUAUCCACAAGUGUAUCUUCAACACCAAUGGGCGAACCGCUCUCUAGUACAGUUUCAAACAAAAACGAGACAAAUCAUCUGAAUGAAGAACAACUUUCUAAAGGUGAAAAAUAUGCGCUCGUUGUAGCUGGUUGUUGUUUUACUAUAGUGCUAAUUUUGUUCCUAAUUUCAUUGUACGUUAAAAAACGUAACAAGGGCGUGGAUAUGUUCGAUGAUACGUUAUAUUUAAAGAUGGAGCAACAGGAUAAAAGCAGUAGAAAUAGAAUUUCGACCCUUAACGAUGACGCUGGUAUAACAGUUAUAAAUGUUGUCAGUUUAUAAGAGAGUGCGUCUGUAUUAAAAGA